GGGAAGGCCCAGACAGCCAGGAUGUUGGCUUAGAAGCAGCCAUCAUUUAAAGAAAGCGUAAUAGCUCACUGGUCGAGUCGGCCUGCGCGGAAGAUGUAACGGGGCUAAACCAUGCACCGAAGCUGCGGCAGCGACACUAUGUGUUGUUGGGUAGGGGAGCGUUCUGUAAGCCUGUGAAGGUGGCCUGUGAGGGUUGCUGGAGGUAUCAGAAGUGCGAAUGCUGACAUAAGUAACGAUAAAGCGGGUGAAAAGCCCGCUCGCCGGAAGACCAAGGGUUCCUGUCCAACGUUAAUCGGGGCAGGGUGAGUCGACCCCUAAGGCGAGGCCGAAAGGCGUAGUCGAUGGGAAACAGGUUAAUAUUCCUGUACUUGGUGUUACUGCGAAGGGGGGACGGAGAAGGCUAUGUUGGCCGGGCGACGGUUGUCCCGGUUUAAGCGUGUAGGCUGAUUUUCCAGGCAAAUCCGGAAAAUCAAGGCUGAGGCGUGAUGACGAGGCACUACGGUGCUGAAGCAACAAAUGCCCUGCUUCCAGGAAAAGCCUCUAAGCAUCAGGUAACAUCAAAUCGUACCCCAAACCGACACAGGUGGUCAGGUAGAGAAUACCAAGGCGCUUGAGAGAACUCGGGUGAAGGAACUAGGCAAAAUGGUGCCGUAACUUCGGGAGAAG
rnacentral:rRNA from 1 species